UUUGCACACUGUUAGAGCUCAGAGCUGAGGUCAGCUCCUGGCCUGUGAUCUCCUGAGUGUAGGAAGUGUGCUAUAUCAAUCUUGGCAGGAUAUUUUGCUAGCACCAUAAGGACAUUUGUGGUCCAGUGAGUGGAGCUUGAUUGUGAUUCUUGCCACAGCU